CCUACGGGCGGCUGCAGUGGGGAAUAUUGCACAAUGGGCGCAAGCCUGAUGCAGCCAUGCCGCGUGUGUGAAGAAGGCCUUCGGGUUGUAAAGCACUUUCAGCGGGGAGGAAGGCGUUAAGGUUAAUAACCUUGGCGAUUGACGUUACCCGCAGAAGAAGCACCGGCUAACUCCGUGCCAGCAGCCGCGGUAAUACGGAGGGUGCAAGCGUUAAUCGGAAUUACUGGGCGUAAAGCGCACGCAGGCGGUCUGUCAAGUCGGAUGUGAAAUCCCCGGGCUCAACCUGGGAACUGCAUUCGAAACGGGCAGGCUAGAGUCUUGUAGAGGAGGGUAGAAUUCCAGGUGUAGCGGUGAAAUGCGUAGAGAUCUGGAGGAAUACCGGUGGCGAAGGCGGCCCCCUGGACAAAGACUGACGCUCAGGUGCGAAAGCGUGGGGAGCAAACAGGAUUAGAUACCCCUGUAGUC
rnacentral:rRNA from 1 species